AAAAAAAUCUUCAAUCCAUAUAUAUAACGUGCAUGAUGUGCCCAGGAAAAAUGAAAUUGGCAAUCUUUUCAUGCUUGAUAUUGUUGAUCUCAUGCACCCAAGUCCUGUCAAGCUCCGUUCUUGGAAACUUUUCAGCUUUAGAACACAAAGGCCCGAUGCAAGAGCAAGAAGUAGAUGUUGAUGAAAGACUUGAUAUUGCUGUUAAUGGAACUAUAUAUGAGCCGGGGAAGUCGCAGAGAGGGAAGGGUGGCGGUGCAAAUAUCCCUCAUCGACCACGCCCCGGUCAAAAGAAUGCGGCGUCGACAUUGUUAGCAGCACCCCCAUCUUUCAUCUCAUCAACCUUUAUAGCUUAUCUAAGCUUCGGUAAUUUGAUCCUUGUUUCUCCCUUCAGAUUGCUCUAGGCCAGGAUAAAAAAUUAAAAAACAAAACUGUUUUGUUAUUAUCGUCCUACACACGCACACACAUCAUCGGCCCAUUUUUCCUAGCUGGUUGUGUUUGGUAUGGCAGAUUUCGGGUUUCCAUAUGAGGAAUAUCGAUCCAGCUUGUACUCGGUGUACUGUACUGGCCGUGAUUUUCAAAAAUCUUGUUGUAAACCUGUAAUGUUAAUGAGUACUGUUUGUAAAGUAUGGUAUAUAUAUAGCAUAUAUAAUUGGUGUGGAA